rnacentral:rRNA from 1 species
UACGUAGGGGGCAAGCGUUGUCCGGAAUCAUUGGGCGUAAAGCGCGUGUAGGCGGUUCGGUAAGUCGGCUGUGAAAGUCCAGGGCUCAACCCUGGAAAGCGGGUGGAUACUGCCGGGCUAGAAUCCGGAAGAGGCGAGUGGAAUUCCUGGUGUAGCGGUGGAAUGCGCAGAUAUCAGGAGGAACACCAAUAGCGAAGGCAGCUCGCUGGGACGGUAUUGACGCUGAGGCGCGAAAGCGUGGGGAGCAAACAGG